AAGCACAAAGGGAGGAGCCGAGGGGAAGCCGCGCAUUCUGGGGCCAUUUCAUCAGCUCAGACUUCAGUUGAAAGCUCUGAGGCAUUAAGGAAUUUCAAUUGUGACUUAGAACUCCCCAGCAAGUCUACAAGGAGGAUGGGAAGAUUGUCUGGGUGUCCACAUGUCAUCUGGAGACCACAGAAGUAACAAGCAGUUUGGGCAGCAUUUACUAUCGGGUUUUCACUGCCGCUUCCAGGAGCCUCCCACAGCGACAACCACAGCCCAUGUAAUACAUUAGCAAGGAGUGCUACCCUCCAGGAUCUCACUUGUGUGUAGAGAUGAAUGAAGCAGGAAUGUAUUCAAGACAGAGAAAAAAGAAAGAAACUUUUGUGAGGCCAAAGCCACGGAGACAGGAAAGAGGUCUGGAGAGCCAGCUGGAGAAGACACUGAGCAACCACAGCAAUAGAAACCCACCUGGAUCUGCAGCCAGUCCCACAACACCCAGAGG